GCUUAGAGAGGGGUCAAUGUCCUAUCAGCUAGUUGGUAGGGUAAUGGCCUACCAAGGCUAAGACGGGCAGCCGGCCUGAGAGGGUGGUCGGCCACACUGGGACUGAGACACUGCCCAGACUCCUACGGGAGGCUGCAGUCGAGAAUCUUUCGCAAUGCCCGAAAGGGUGACGAAGCGACGCCGCGUGUGGGAAGAAGGCCUUCGGGUUGUAAACCACUGCCGGGAGUUAAGAAAUGCAAGGGUGUUAAUAGCAUCCUUGCUUGACUAAGGCUCCGGAGGAAGCCACGGCUAACUCUGUGCCAGCAGCCGCGGUAAUACAGAGGCGGCAAGCGUUGUUCGGAAUUAUAGGGCGUAAAGAGCACGUAGGCGGUUUUGUAAGUCAGUUGUGAAAGCCUUCUGCUCAACGGAAGAACAGCAUCUGAUACUGCAAGGCUAGAGUGCGGAAGGG
rnacentral:rRNA from 1 species